GCGCUCGCUUUGGCAGCACAUAUGCUAAAAUUGGAACAAUACAAAGAUUAGCAUGGCCCCGGCGCAAGGAUGACACGUUAAUUUUUUAACAUUAAAAAAAAAAA